CCAAGAAGCAACCUUCCUUUCUUGAUGCGCCCUGAGCCUUACUAGGGUAAGGUCCAAACCAGCAGUACCAGGCCCUCCCCACUGCCCACCAAGGAGCUCGUGUGUGCCCACGUGAGCCCCACACUGGCAUACUCACACAGAUACCAGUAGGCUCCCGGUGAGGGGGUGAGCAGGGGCAGGCUCCAAUCCCCCGUGGAGUCAAACCUCCCAAACAGGAAAGUCUCCUUGUGUCGCUCAGGAGAGUGGAGCCAAUGCGUGCCUUGGAGGAGGUCUGCUUUGAGCCCUGUGCAGAUUGGUGCUGAUGAUUCUUACCAGUUGUGUGUAUGUGCAAGAAAAAAAAUCAGAGACGCUGCCUGCCUGCUCCCAUCUCUCGCGCGCUCUCUCUCUCUUCUGCUCUCUCCCUCCCUUUGCAAACAUUGGAUUUAAACCUGCUCAGAAUUCAGCACAGAGGAAGGCAGCAGCGGUAGCAGCAGCAGAAGCAGUAGCAAGCCCGGCAGCCGUGAGCACCGCAGCGUCGAGAUGUACCAGCCCGCCUACUGGGUCGUCUUCUCCGCGACAACUGCCCUGCUCUUCAUCCCAGGUAAGUGAUAUUUGAUUAUUGUUUUGAGCUUCUUCAGGAAAGAGCUCAGAAGCCUACCUAAUUCUCAGUCCCAUUGGAAGGAAGUCUUUGGCCAAUUCCUAUUCAUCCUGCCCAAGAGAUUGCAUUCCAUCUCUUGACUCCUGCAGAUUGGUGGGGCACACAGAGGUAUGCCUGUUCAGUGUUAAUGGGUUUGCAUCUGUUUGUGGGAAAAGCAAUGUGAGUUUUGGAUCAGUGUCAGUAAAACAAUUAUGCAAAAUUACUGGAGAAUGAAUGCCAAAAGACAUUUUACUGCUGUACGUCAACUCAUUGUAUGGGUUCUCAUGAACUCAAUGUUUAUCUAUUUACUAAAAGUGAACUUCAUACAACAGCUAAGUGAAUUAUAAUAAUUUCAUUUAUAAUAAUGACAUCACAAAUAAUUUCCUCCUU